rnacentral:sRNA from 1 species
ACCAGGGAAGCAUUUGACGGGCUAGGAACGUUGCAUCACCUUCACCAUUUUCCGAUAUGGGGCGGUAUUUGACAAACGCAUUACAUAAAGUGACAAAUCAGGAUUCAGAAGAUAUGACGCUUCCCCGACCACUUUGAAUGCGUGCAACGUGAAUUCUACCUUACUCAGCAUCAGCCCUCCUGAUAACUAGUGGUUUCCGCUGAUGUCAGCCUGGCAGUAUCCCAGGCUCUAACCAUUUCCUUUCAGUCUAUUACCAUAGCCAUGUGACCGGCCUCUCCACUGCAUACCAUCUGCUCCGGAUACCAAAGGGGCUGCCUCUAAGCUCCAAGAAAGUUCAAAGGCCCGCCAAAAUUUCAAUAGAUCUUGGCCCUGAUGAGCAUGGCGGACAAUCCCACGCGACAAGGUCUUGACUUGGAAAAGUUGGAUCCGUGAAUCCAACAAUAACUUCUGGCGGAACCUCGAUAUGUUCAAGUGGCUAAUCAUUUUCGAGCAGGCGAAUUGGCGGUGUAGGAGAUAAAUUUAUCCACUUGCUUCGUACAGUCGAACUUUCUCACAUUCCUUUUUAAUGAAUACCGACGACUCAAGCUCCUCCCGAAGUCACUUUUGCAUCCGGCACCAGAGUUCAUGACUGGCUAGUGGGCCACUGGCGUAGUUGGUUAUGAAAGCCGUUUGCAAGUAGCUGACGGAGAAUUGAAAAUAAAAGAUAGUUUCGUAGAUGCAUAUUUGGCGCUUACGAUGGACAGGACAUCGAUGCGGCAGUUCAGAUUAGGUGAUAGACUCGACCCUCUUGCUCAUGUCGAUCGAAAAAGAAAUGGUAAAAAUGAAAAAAAAAAAAAAAAAAAGGCAAACUUCCCUGGUGAGCACUAGCGUGGGUGGCCAUAUUGAAGAGACAUCAUCUUUCAGCGCACUUGAAUUUGGGAGUGGUGAAUCUCACUUAUCUCCAGGAUUCCGAACACCAAUGA